rnacentral:rRNA from 1 species
ACGCUCGACACCUACGGGAGACAGCAGUGGGGAAUAUUGCACAAUGGGGGAAACCCUGAUGCAGCGACGCCGCGUGAGCGAAGAAGUAUUUCGGUAUGUAAAGCUCUAUCAGCAGGGAAGAAACUGACGGUACCUGACUAAGAAGCACCGGCUAAAUACGUGCCAGCAGCCGGAGUAUNUGAGCGGGCGUGGACGAAGGC